rnacentral:rRNA from 1 species
UACAUGGGGUGCAAACGUUGCUCGGAAUUAUUGGGCGUAAAGCGCACGUAGGCGGUUCGUUAAGUCGGAUGUGAAAGCCCCUCGGCUCAAUGAGGAAGUGCACCCGAAACUGGCGAGCUUGAGUACGAAAGAGGAUCGCGGAAUUCCCGGUGUAGAGGUGAAAAUUCGUAGAUAUCGGGAGGAACACCGGUGGCGAAGGCGGGCGAUCUGGGGGUCGAUACUGACGCUGAGGGUGCGAAAAGCGUGGGGGAGCAAAACAGG